rnacentral:rRNA from 1 species
GCAAGUCGAACGGGCUAGUGCUUCGCACUAGUCUCUUUCUGGGGUUGUUACUCUAAGGCUACCUGCUAAAGUUAUUGCUUUAAAGGCAGGGGUUUUAGGAGACUUUCCCCGAAAGGGGCCAGUGCGGAGCACUGGCCAGUGGCGAACGGGUGAGUAACACGUGGGUAAUCUACCCUCGAGUGGGGAAUAAGCUUCCGAAAGGGGGUCUAAUGCCGCAUAACGUUUCAUAACGAUGGUUAUGAAACCAAAGCCCAAAAGGCGCUCGAGGAGGAGCCUGCGUCCUAUCAGCUUGUUGGCAGGGUAAUGGCCUACCAAGGCUAUGACGGGUAGCCGGCCUGAGAGGGUGUCCGGCCACACUGGAACUGAGACACGGUCCAGACUCCUACGGGAGGCAGCAGUGGGGAAUUUUGCGCAAUGGGGGAAACCCUGACGCAGCGACGCCGCGUGGAGGAUGACGGCCUUCGGGUUGUAAACUCCUGUCAGAAGGGACGAAAUCCCGCAAGGGACUGACGGUACCUUCAGAGGAAGCCCCGGCUAACUACGUG